AUCUGUUGAUGGUACGGGCAGUCCCUGCAAAGAGAUUUGAACCUCUCUUAUGCAUGAUAUAAAUUCUCAUCUGGAUUUUGUUUAAAACUAAAAAUCUUACUACAUAACCU